rnacentral:rRNA from 1 species
CCUACGGGAGGCAGCAGUAGGGAAUAUUGCUCAAUGGGGGAAACCCUGACGCAGCAACGCCGCGUGGGUGAAGAAGGUUUUCGGAUUGUAAACUCCUUUUGUUAGAGAAGAUAAUGACUGUAUCUAACGAAUAAGCACCGGCUAACUCCGUGCCAGCAGCCGCGCUAAUACGUAGGGUCCAAGCGUUACUCGGAAUCACUGGGCGUAAAGAGCGCGUAGGCGGGUUAGCCAGUCAGAUGUGAAAUCCUAUGGCUUAACCAUGGGAAUGCGUUGGAAACGGUUGAUCUAGAGUGUGGGAGAGGUAGGUGGAAUUCUUGGUGUAGCGGUAAAAUGCGUAGAGAGCAGGAGGAAUACCCAUGGCGAAGGCGGCCUGCUAGAACAUAACUGACGCUGAGGCGCGAAAGCGUGGGGAGCAAACAGGAUUAGAUACCCGGGUAGUC